rnacentral:rRNA from 1 species
UGAGGAAUAUUGGACAAUGGAGGCAACUCUGAUCCAGCCAUGCCGCGUGAAGGAUGAAGGCGCUAUGCGUUGUAAACUUCUUUUCUACGGGAAGAAAAAGUCCGAUUCGUUCGGAUACUGACGGUAUUGUAGGAAUAAGCAUCGGCUAACUCCGUGCCAGCAGCCGCGGUAAUACGGAGGAUGCAAGCGUUAUCCGGAUUUAUUGGGUUUAAAGGGUGCGUAGGCGGGACGGUAAGUCAGUGGUGAAAUCCGGCAGCUCAACUGUUGAAUUGCCAUUGAUACUGCUGUUCUUGAGUACAUUUGAAGUGGGCGGAAUAUGUCAUGUAGCGGUGAAAUGCUUAGAUAUGACAUAGAACACCGAUUGCGAAGGCAGCUCACUAAGCUGGUACUGACGCUCAGGCACGAAAGUGUGGGGAUCAAACAGG